GAUGAAGAACGUAGCGAAAUGCGAUAAGUAAUGUGAAUUGCAGAAUUCAGUGAAUCAUCGAAUCUUUGAACGCACAUUGCGCUCCCUGGUAUUCCGGGGAGCAUGCCUGUUCGAGCGUCAUCAAAAACCUCAACCCAUGAUUUAUUGUGAGUUGGUUCUGCAUUGGACUCCUUGUGGGUCCUUUGCGAAAUCCAAUGGCGAAGAGCCACGCAACCAAAGCGUAGUAUAACUAUUUCGUUAUGGAAGCGUGGGUGCCUCUGCCGUAACCCCCAAUUUCUUAGUUUUUGACCUCGGAUCAGGUAGGGAUACCCGCUGAACUUAAGCAUAUCAAUAAGCGGAGGA
rnacentral:misc_RNA from 1 species